rnacentral:rRNA from 1 species
GUCCACGCGGUAAACUAUGUCAACUAGCCGUUGGAAGGGUAAUCCUUUUAGUGGCGCAGCUAACGCACUAAGUUGACCGCCUGGGGAGUACGGUCGCAAGAUUAAAACUCAAAUGAAUUGACGGGGGCCCGCACAAGCGGUGGAGCAUGUGGUUUAAUUCGACGCAACGCGAAGAACCUUACCUACUCUUGACAUCCAGAGAACUUGGCAGAGAUGCCUUGGUGCCUUCGGGAGCUCUGAGACAGGUGCUGCAUGGCUGUCGU